rnacentral:rRNA from 1 species
AACGCUAGCUACAGGCUUAACACAUGCAAGUCGAGGGGAAACGACAUCGAAAGCUUGCUUUUGAUGGGCGUCGACCGGCGCACGGGUGAGUAACGCGUAUCCAACCUGCCCACCACUUGGGGAUAACCUUGCGAAAGUAAGACUAAUACCCAAUGAUAUCUCUAGAAGACAUCUGAAAGAGAUUAAAGAUUUAUCGGUGAUGGAUGGGGAUGCGUCUGAUUAGCUUGUUGGCGGGGUAACGGCCCACCAAGGCAACGAUCAGUAGGGGUUCUGAGAGGAAGGUCCCCCACAUUGGAACUGAGACACGGUCCAAACUCCUACGGGAGGCAGCAGUGAGGAAUAUUGGUCAAUGGACGAGAGUCUGAACCAGCCAAGUAGCGUGCAGGAUGACGGCCCUAUGGGUUGUAGACUGCUUUUAUAAGGGAAUAAAGUGAGCCUCGUGAGGCUUUUUGCAUGUACCUUAUGAAUAAGGACCGGCUAAUUCCGUGCCAGCAGCCGCGGUAAUACGGAAGGUCCGGGCGUUAUCCGGAUUUAUUGGGUUUAAAGGGAGCGUAGGCCGGAGAUUAAGCGUGUUGUGAAAUGUAGACGCUCAACGUCUGCACUGCAGCGCGAACUGGUUUCCUUGAGUACGCACAAAGUGGGCGGAAUUCGUGGUGUAGCGGUGAAAUGCUUAGAUAUCACGAAGAACUCCGAU